CAACAGGCAAUUAUGGAAUUAAGUAAUAUUUGUGUUUCAAACUUAUUUAUAUUUGUGAAUUUCCUUUACAACACCAAUUUCUACCAAAACAACAGCAAAAGCCACAGCUACCCUAGACAAUUUGCAAUUUCAAGCAUUCUCUGCGAUCAAGCCACCAACAAUCAUUAUUACCUAUUCCAGCUACACGGUAUAGUACCUGCUGCGCACAUGUUAAGCAAUGGCACAAGGGAAAUGUUAUCUCCUCACAGUCAAU
rnacentral:misc_RNA from 1 species